ensembl:lncRNA novel transcript
ACCUGAAAAGAUCUUCUACCUUCUACCCUUGCUGCCUUGGAACCUGGGACCACCAUGCUGUGAAGACUCCAGGGACAUGAGGCCAUGUGGAGAGAGUCCCAACCAUUACAACCAUCCCAGCCAUUUAGCCUGAUCCCCCACACUGAGUCUGUUAUUGGUGUUCUUGUAAUCUCCCAGGAUAGAAAUCAAGAGAGAUCACCAGCCACAGCAGCAAAGAAAAAGAGAAAGCUUCAUUUAGCUGGUGCACAGGGAAAGGCAGCACCAUGGAAGUAGUUAACAGUUCUGCAGAACAUUUUAGAAAUGGUAACAUAAGUAUAAACAACAAAACAGUGAGAUUCUGAUACCAACUUCCAGUUCCUCCUCACCAAGACUUCGUGAAAACUCUUCAGCUCAUCUGGCAAAACAAACAGGCAAAGACGCAGAUACCAGGACACUUCCUUUUGAACACUUGGCUGCAGAAGCUAAGAGACAUGGGAUACGCGAAUUGAUUCUUACAUAAUAUGAGAGAUAUAGGUCUUCUCUCCCACCUGAGGGCUGGACCACACGUGAUUCCCGUGGCACGCUGCUUCUGAGCACUCUACAGCCGCCCUCUAGCCAAACCCAGCACCGGUCAGAUGGGGAGAAACCAGAGAUAGGAAAGUGCUCGCACGUGGGAGGUCACAGUGGAGCCUCCGUGAGAACCUUCACCAGAAGAAGGUUACAGGCCAUGAACUGCAGACUCAGGAAGAUAAAUUGGCAAAGCAGCACCGCGAUGGAAGAGCUCCUGGCAGCAAUGUAAAUACUGGAGCCCAGUAGAAAGAGUCUAAGUCGAGGAGGCAUGAGGACAAGAUGAUCAGUAAUUGCCAUUGAUUGCAUGGGUGAGAUCUCACCAUUCCCAUACAUUCACAGAGCAACCCACAGAGUGAACUAUAUACCAAGUGAGCAGAGGAUAAAGUAGGAUGAUCACAGGAAGGGUUAACAGGCCCCUCCCUAACCUGGAGAACCCUCACAACAUUUGCUCAGCAAUUUAGGACAAGUCUGCUUUUUAUCCUGCUGUAGAUACCUAAAUGAGCCCAGUAUCCCAGUUAAGUCCUGAAACUCCAAAAUUCAUGUAGGCUCAUAUGCCAUCCUAUUGACAUUACCACUCUUUUGCUGGUUCCCCCACAUCAUCUCUCCAAUUUGUGUGACUAUCCCACAUGCCACAACCAUUUUUAGUUUUUAUGUUAGCUCUCAUUCUAACUGGCUCUGUGGAUUAAUGUUUUAAUUUUGAUCUUACCAUCCCAAUUCCUACCUCAAAGCCUUUCUCCUAGUUGGAAUCUAGCCUCAAGUCCUAAGUGCCAUGCACCCUUGAGAUUCACAUCCUCGUCUAUUUUGUGUCCAAUUAUAUCUUCUAUUCAUUUGAAUUCACGUGAAUAAUUAAAAUCAGAAUUUGAAUGG